rnacentral:rRNA from 1 species
CCUACGGGAGGCAGCAGUAGGGAAUUUUCGGCAAUGGGCGAAAGCCUGACCGAGCAACGCCGCGUGAACGAAGAAGGUCUUCGGAUUGUAAAGUUCUGUUAUAGAGGAAGAAUGGUGUACGAAGGAAAUGGCGUACAAAUGACGGUACUCUGUGAGGAAGCCACGGCUAACUCCGUGCCAGCAGCCGCGGUAAUACGGAGGAUUCAAGCGUUAUCCGGAUUUAUUGGGUUUAAAGGGUGCGUAGGCGGUCGGAUAAGUUAGAGGUGAAAUCCAGAGGCUCAACUUCGGAAUUGCCUCUGAUACUGUUCGGCUAGAGAGUAGUUGCGGUAGGCGGAAUGUAUGGUGUAGCGGUGAAAUGCUUAGAGAUCAUACAGAACACCGAUUGCGAAGGCAGCUUACCAAGCUACUUCUGACGUUGAGGCACGAAAGCGUGGGGAGCAAACAGGAUUAGAUACCCGAGUAGUC